AGACGAACGCUGGCGGCGUGCUUAACACAUGCAAGUCGAACGGUGAUGACCAGCUUGCUGGUCUGAUCAGUGGCGAACGGGUGAGUAACACGUGAGCAACCUGCCCUUCACUCUGGGAUAACCACGGGAAACGGUGGCUAAUACCGGAUAUGAGACGUACACGCAUGUGUCGCGUCUGGAAAGAUUUAUCGGUGAGGGAUGGGCUCGCGGCCUAUCAGCUUGUUGGUGGGGUAGUGGCCCACCAAGGCGACGACGGGUAGCCGGCCUGAGAGGGCGACCGGCCACACUGGGACUGAGACACGGCCCAGACUCCUACGGGAGGCAGCAGUGGGGAAUAUUGCACAAUGGGCGCAAGCCUGAUGCAGCGACGCCGCGUGAGGGAUGACGGCCUUCGGGUUGUAAACCUCUUUCAGCAGGGAAGAAGCGCAAGUGACGGUACCUGCAGAAGAAGCGCCGGCUAACUACGUGCCAGCAGCCGCGGUAAUACGUAGGGCGCAAGCGUUGUCCGGAAUUAUUGGGCGUAAAGAGCUCGUAGGCGGUUUGUCGCGUCUGCUGUGAAAACCUAAGGCUCAACCUUGGGCUUGCAGUGGGUACGGGCAGACUAGAGUGCGGUAGGGGUGACUGGAAUUCCUGGUGUAGCGGUGGAAUGCGCAGAUAUCAGGAGGAACACCGAUGGCGAAGGCAGGUCACUGGGCCGCAACUGACGCUGAGGAGCGAAAGCAUGGGGAGCGAACAGGAUUAGAUACCCUGGUAGUCCAUGCCGUAAACGUUGGGCACUAGGUGUGGGGCUCAUUCCACGAGUUCCGUGCCGCAGCAAACGCAUUAAGUGCCCCGCCUGGGGAGUACGGCCGCAAGGCUAAAACUCAAAGAAAUUGACGGGGGCCCGCACAAGCGGCGGAGCAUGCGGAUUAAUUCGAUGCAACGCGAAGAACCUUACCAAGGCUUGACAUACACCGGAAAAGUGCAGAGAUGUGCUCCCCGCAAGGUCGGUGUACAGGUGGUGCAUGGUUGUCGUCAGCUCGUGUCGUGAGAUGUUGGGUUAAGUCCCGCAACGAGCGCAACCCUCGUCCCAUGUUGCCAGCGGGUUAUGCCGGGGACUCAUGGGAGACUGCCGGGGUCAACUCGGAGGAAGGUGGGGAUGACGUCAAAUCAUCAUGCCCCUUAUGUCUUGGGCUUCACGCAUGCUACAAUGGCCGGUACAAAGGGCUGCGAUACCGCGAGGUGGAGCGAAUCCCAAAAAGCCGGUCUCAGUUCGGAUUGGGGUCUGCAACUCGACCCCAUGAAGUCGGAGUCG
rnacentral:rRNA from 1 species